rnacentral:rRNA from 1 species
CCAGACUCCUACGGGAGGCAGCAGUGGGGAAUAUUGGGCAAUGGGCGCAAGCCUGACCCAGCAACGCCGCGUGAAGGAAGAAGGCUUUCGGGUUGUAAACUUCUUUUCUCAGGGACGAAGCAAGUGACGGUACCUGAGGAAUAAGCCACGGCUAACUACGUGCCAGCAGCCGCGGUAAUACGUAGGGGGCAAGCGUUAUCCGGAUUCACUGGGCGUAAAGGAGCGCAGGCGGCACGGCAAGUCUGGUGUGAAAGCCCGGGGCCCAACCCCGGGACUGCAUUGGAAACUGCCGGGCUGGAGUGCCGGAGGGGCAGGCGGAAUUCCUGGUGUAGCGGUGAAAUGCGCAGAUAUCAGGAAGAACACCGGUGGCGCAGGCGGCCUGCUGGACGGCAACUGACGCUGAGGCUCGAAAGCGUGGGGAGCAAACAGGAUUAGAUACCCGAGUA